UACGAAGGGUGCAAGCGUUAAUCGGAAUUACUGGGCGUAAAGCGUGCGUAGGCGGUUUCUUAAGUCUGCUGUGAAAUCCCCGGGCUCAACCUGGGAAUGGCAGUGGAUACUGGCGAGCUAGAGUGUGUCAGAGGAUGGUGGAAUUCCCGGUGUAGCGGUGAAAUGCGUAGAGAUCGGGAGGAACAUCAGUGGCGAAGGCGGCCAUCUGGGACAACACUGACGCUGAAGCACGAAAGCGUGGGGAGCAAACAGG
rnacentral:rRNA from 1 species